UGCAAUCUCUAAUCCCAAUUUCAAUUUUAGCCCAAAUUCAAACCCAGUUUUUAAUUUAUAAUCUAAUUCUUUUAGUUCUUAAAUCACAACGAUCAACGACUAAGAUUAAAUCCUCUUUUUCCCUUUUAAGCAAAACAAAGACCCAAACCCUAACAUAUUCUACAAACCUUUCACUCUCAUCUCUCUCUGCCAGCGGCCAAGGCUGCCGCCGACCGCCACUCUUCCACCACAGGCGCAACCAUGGACGGCGAAGCCUCCGCUCUCCCUAUACCCUUCUUUUCUCUCUCUUCGUUUCCCGCCGGCGAAACAUGCCACCAUCACCAACAACCCUCUCCGUCAGCCGCCGCCGUUCUCCAUCUAACCUAUGCCGCAGAUCUCGCCAGCCCAUCCAGUCGCUGCCACCGGCGUAAAUAGCGGCAAGCGGAAUGAGGCCCUCAUGUUAGAAGAGGACGGAAUGAAGUGGAACAAGAACAAAUGGGAGAUAGCGAAGUAGAUAUUGAACCAUAUUUUGUUUGGAAAAGUUCUCAAUGUACACAAGAAAAUGAAUCUACAUUUUGAAGCUAUAACAAUUUUUCUGGGUUAAAAUGGCUCACCUCUGUAUGCUGUUUUUGCUAGUGCUGGAUCCUAAAAUUAUUUGGCUGCUGUAAUUUUGAUUUGACUGUCUCUUUUUGCUAGAAAUGACAGCAACUUGGAUAUUAUUUUUGCUGAAA